AAUCCAACAGGAGAAUGAAACCAGAAAUUUUCCGCUCAAAACAAAUGUGCCAGCUAUUCUGGCCUGUCGAUCUCUGGUAUGUAAGGCUGGACUCACUUGCAGCGACUCUGGAAGCCUCACCUCUGGGUGGAUGCACCGCGUAGGAUUUCCCGCUUGCUGGGACAGGUUCUCCAAAUCCUCGCUGAGACCAGGGCUGCCCAGCGACUGUGGAUCGCAGAUCUCAGUGCUUCC